rnacentral:misc_RNA from 1 species
GGGGAUGCUAAUCAUCAUAUUGUGUCAUGUACAUGAUUAAGCUCAACCUAAACUGUAUCAACCUGAAUUUCGCAGCAUUAUUGAAUAUCCAGCGCCUUCAUAGUUAUCGGAUGCCAAAAAGUUUUGCUAUUGCCAUAUUCCUAGGGAAAAAGGAACAAGAAAAGGAUCAAGUGAAAAAUCUGAUGCACUAGUUCCAGGCUUUCCAAAAGCAAAGAAAAUUACUUUAAACAAAUCCCAAAUCAAACUCAGUUGCGAUCAAUAAGUUGCCCAUGCAAGUCUACCCGAAUUCAUCUCAGCAAGGGGCAUAACAACAGCUACUUCUGACUUGAACCAUCCAUGCUUUUCAAUUAGCUUUUUCAGCUGGUCACCUGCUACGAAUGAAACUCCUGAAGCCAUAACUCCAACAACAGCAUAGAGCAGUAUAGUGAUUAUGCAGUUCUGGGGCGGCUUCUGGACAUAACCCUUAACAAUGGCAAGUACAACAAUGCACAAAAGAGAAGCUGCUGCAACUGCUGCUAGCUUGUAAUGCUUAUUGUCACUCUUCUGGAAUGAGAAGGCAUAAACUACAGGAGGUACUAACCCAAAAACAACGAAUGAUAAUAUGGCAACUGGGGCAUGAAGAAUGAAGUUCUGUCUCUUCCCAAGCAGAUCUUCGUAACGAUCUUCUCGUCCAUUUGUCUGAUCUGAGGUGCCUCUUCCAGAUUGUUCAUUUUUUAGUUCCCAAAGAUUUUGUCCAAUGAUGAAGAGUCCACCAACGAGGCUUGCCAAUGCCAGAGCUAGAAUAUUCAUUGUGGUAACAUCAGCACUUGCAGCUGAUGUCACAACAAUUAAGCUUGUAAUUGUUUCAGUCAAACCGCCGUAUACAAUGCUUUUCAGGACCCAAUUUUUAUCAUCCGCUGGUUCAGAAGGGAUUGUCUGCUCGUCUUCAACAAUAAAGAUUGGUGUGCUUGGAAGAAGUGUGGUUUCGACUACUGCUAAUUUAACAAGCAGUGCAUUCGAUCAUCCUUUAGAACAAGGUGUAUUUAAGAUAUAAAGUAACAAAGUAAAACAAAUUAUAGGAAUAUAAUAAAAAACUAGUUAUUCAUAGAAAUAGUAUUUUAUUACAAGGUUUUUGCUACUACUUAGAAAAAAGAUAUAACAGAAAAAUUUAAUGAUAAGUGAAAAUUUCUUACCACAUCUCUUACAUACCUUUGCCACUUUGUUCUACAAUAAAAUUAUCAUUAAUGUUAGCUUGAAUUAUAGGUCUUUCAAGUUCAAGCAUUUGUAAGUGUUUCUCAUUUGCAUAAUCAACACGUGUGAGCAAAUGAACUAAUUCAGAGAAUAAAAUGACCACAAUAACAAAAAUAUUGCUUAGCUCAUAUGUGCUUAGAAGAAGUAUGGUUUCGACUGCUACUGAUUCAACAAGCAACGCAUUGGAUCUUCUUUUAGAAAAAGGUGUAUUUAAGAUGUAAAGUAACAAAAUAAAACUUAGAAAUAUAAUCAUUAGGUUGAAUUGUAGGUCUUUGCCACUUUGUUCUACAAUAAAAUUAUCAUUAAUGUUAGCUUGAAUUAUAGGUCUUUCAAGUUCAAGCAUUUGUAAGUGUUUCUCAUUUGCAUAAUCAACACGUGUGAGCAAAUGAACUAAUUCAGAGAAUAAAAUGACCACAAUAACAAAAAUAUUGCUUAGCUCAUAUGUGCUUAGAAGAAGUAUGGUUUCGACUGCUACUGAUUCAACAAGCAACGCAUUGGAUCUUCUUUUAGAAAAAGGUGUAUUUAAGAUGUAAAGUAACAAAAUAAAACUUAGAAAUAUAAUCAUUAGGUUGAAUUGUAGGU